CCCUAAAAUUUCAGUCUUGUUCCUCUCUAUAUCUCUAGCGUUUGAACUCGACUUCCAGAGAAUCUCUUUCUCUGCCAUGGGUCCGAAGCAGAAGCCUAAGCAGAAGCAGAAGCAGCCGGUCGUUUAUGAGGAAGAUUAUGUACCAAUUAAAACAUUAAUCGACUACGGUAUAGACGCUGAAACUGUGAAAAUACUGGGAGAUGCUAAAAUCUGGAAUAGUCUUCUGAUCAAAAACAAGGAGCUCCUCGCUGGAGUCGACGGUUUAUCAGAGAUUAAAUUUGACCAAAUCUGUGAAGCAGUUGACAAAUUAAUGGCUUCACUAACCUCCCAAGUUCAAGUCUUCACUCAGACGGUUUUACUUGAAAACAUUCCCCGUAAAAGAUGCAUGUCAGAAUGCAUUGAAGCCUGUUACUCACUUGAUGAGAUGCAUGAGACUUUGUCUAGGAAAUUUGGUCAGUCAUUCAAAACAACCAAGAACACGUAUGACUACUUUUUAAAGGGUAGACAUGGAAGUCAAGCUUACAAACAACUUUCAUUGGUGCGGGGUGCACAAAGAAAAGCAAAGAAACUCCCUAAAGCUCAAAGCCAGAAGCAGCAGCUAGCAGCUCAAAGUUGACAAAGUCUCUGAAGCAGUUGACAAGAGUAAGCUUGAGAAGGAGGAGCAAGCGGGAAAUCAAGUUCAAAGUAGCGAGAACAUGGAGCAAGCUGAAUCACUUCUUCCAAUUCAAGAUGAAGUUGAACUUCCAAAACCAACUGAAGUUCAGAGUAAUACUGAGCAGAAGGAGCAAGAUGGAGAUCAAGUUCAGAGUAGUGAGGAGAAGGAGCAAGAUGAAUCACUUCUUCCAAUUCAAGAUGAAGUUGAACUUCCAAAAUCAACUGAAGCUCAGAGUACUAGUGAGCAGAAGGAGCAAGCUCACAGUGAAUCAGUUCUUCCAAUUUUGACGCAGCUUAUUAAUUCUCAGAAGGAGAUUUUGGAAGCUAUUACAUCUCAGAAUAAAAUGUUGGAAUCUGUAAUGAACUUGCAAACUGAGAUAGCAACAAAGGAUGAUCUAGAAUCUCUUGAGAGAGACUUAGGGAGAAGACUUGAAGCUAUUGGUGAAGACAUAACACUCCAAGUGGCAAAUGGUAUUCAAGAAAUUUUAACCUCUGCUAGUAAAACAUCAGUCGAAAAAUUUGAAAAAGCUGUUACUUCAAAGGUUAACAUCAGUCGAUGAAUUGGUGCUCAAAAAGAACAUCGAGAUCGCCAAGAAUAACAUUCCAAUCUAUGAUUUUUUUUACAAUGUGAGAAAUGUUAUUCUUCGAGUUAGUUGUUAUUUUCAUUGGAUUUUUAAAA